CGCAGCAACAUGAGCUUCAUCGUCAUUUAUUACAAGAUGGCGGCUGUCUCGUAUUUCAGCACAUGUUGACUGAAGGGCUCAAGCGGUUCACCUGCCCUUGUCACAUAAGGGUAGUUAAGACUUGAGGAACAGAAAAAUGUAUCAUUGAAGUUUAUAAUAAGUCUUCCCUCUGGAUGUCACAGUCACGUGCUAUUCAAAUUACAUUCUCCUGUGGUGUAACUGUCCUCGUACAUUUUCACCAUACUGAUAUAUAUUUAAAAAUGGUUUGAAGAAAGUUCAGUCUCAAAGAAGUGCUUAACAAUGACAGUUCUGUAGUUUUUGGUAGCAAUUUUGUUAAAAUUCAAGUGGAUGAAUCAUUAACGAGAUGGUUGGAAGUAGCUGUUUUGGUUGUUUGAUGUUCCAUUAGGAAAGGCAAUUGGCAUUGUGUGCCAAUCAACAGUUAAGUGCAGAUGAUCAGCAUCUUGUCUCAUGGUUGGCUCAACUCAUAGAAACCUGGUAUUUUUUUCAAGUAACAGAAUGAAACAACCUCCAGCAGCCUUUUAGUCACAGUUGGUUGUAGCUACUAAAACUGUUUGUUUAAAAUGCCGGCAAGAAAAUGACUGAAACAGUAUUUCGAUGCUUUAUCGAUUUGCUUCAUCGUCGCCAAAUGCCGUCAGCGAAAGGAAAAAUGUUGCCGAGUUGUAUUUUACAAGUAUUCUUUCGGGAUGAUAGCACUUACUGGAGUGAAGCAGUGCUUCUUCAAAUGCUGCCCCAAGCACCUAAUACACACCAACUAUCAAGGCUUUGAUUCGGUAGUCAUUUGGCGAAGCAAAUUCUUAACGAAUUUGUCCAACACAGAUAAAUGGUCGGUUAAUGCAGUUUCGAGGAUCCCAUCGUAAUCCACUUUCGCUCGCAAAAUCGUCAUUACGAAU